rnacentral:rRNA from 1 species
ACGGAAGGCAGCAGUGGGGAAUAUUGCACAAUGGGCGAAAGCCUGAUGCAGCGACGCCGCGUGAGUGAAGAAGUAUCUCGGUAUGUAAAGCUCUAUCAGCAGGGAAGAAAAUGACGGUACCUGACUAAGAAGCCCCGGCUAACUACGUGCCAGCAGCCGCGGUAAUACGUAGGGGGCAAGCGUUAUCCGGAUUUACUGGGUGUAAAGGGAGCGUAGACGGUUUGGCAAGUCUGAAGUGGAAUGCGGGGGCUCAACUCCUGAACUGCUUUGGAAACUGUCGAACUAGAGUGCAGGAGAGGUAAGUGGAAUUCCUAGUGUAGCGGUGAAAUGCGUAGAUAUUAGGAGGAACACCAGUGGCGAAGGCGGCUUACUGGACUGUAACUGACGUUGAGGCUCGAAAGCGUGGGGAGCAAACAGGAUUAGAUACCCUGGUA